CCUACGGGAGGCAGCAGUAGGGAAUUUUGUGCAAUGGGCGAAAGCCUGACGCAGCAACACCGCGUGGGGGAUGACUCCUUUUGGGGUGUAAACUCCUGUCAGUGGGGACGAAGCCUGACGGUACCCACAGAGGAAGCAUCGGCUAACUACGUGCCAGCAGCCGCGGUAAU
rnacentral:rRNA from 1 species